GUAGAGGAUGCUUCUGAGUUGUCACCGGUCUAAGUUCCUUGGAACAGGACGUCAUAGAGGGUGAGAAUCCCGUAUGUGACCGGCCAGACGCUCUGUACGUAGCUCCUUCGACGAGUCGAGUUGUUUGGGAAUGCAGCUCUAAAUGGGAGGUAAAUUUCUUCUAAAGCUAAAUACCGGCCAGAGACCGAUAGCGCACAAGUAGAGUGAUCGAAAGAUGAAAAGCACUUUGGAAAGAGAGUUAAAAAGCACGUGAAAUUGUUGAAAGGGAAGCGCUUGCAACCAGACUUGUCGGCGGUGUUCCGCCGGUCUUCUGACCGGUCCACUCACCGUUUGCAGGCCAGCAUCGUCUGGGACCGUCGGAUAAAGGCUUUGGGAAUGUAGCUCCCUCGGGAGUGUUAUAGCCCUUUGCACAAUACGACGCGACCCGGGCGAGGUCCGCGCUUCGGCUAGGAUGCUGGCGUAAUGGUUGUAAGCGGCCCGUCUUGAAACACGGACCAAGGAGUCUACCAUCUAUGCGAGUGUUCGGGUGUCAAACCCCUACGCGUAAUGAAAGUGAACGGAGGUGGGAACUUUUUGUGCACCAUCGACCGAUCCUGAUGUCUUCGGAUGGAUUUGAGUAAGAGCAUAGCUGGUGGGACCCGAAAGAUGGUGAACUAUGCCUGAAUAGGGUGAAGCCAGAGGAAACUCUGGUGGAGGCUCGCAGCGGUUCUGACGUGCAAAUCGAUCGUCAAAUUUGGGUAUAGGGGCGAAAGACUAAUCGAACCAUAAGGUUGCUAGGUGGUUGAGAGUUGAACUAGACGGUGAGACAAUCCGUCGACACCAUCAAAUUACGGGGAGUCUCUUAGAGGCUCGCCUCUGCCGUCGUGGCCUGGAAACAGGUAGCGGCUGGCUGUCUUCACCGGCGGCCGUAGGGUAGAGGCGGGAUUGAGAUACCGCGUAGCCAAGUCCUAGAGCCGCCCGCGGGGCGGUACGGACGCAGUCCACAGACUGGACGUUGGUGGGCCCGCAUUGAACUGUGGGCUUCAGAUAGAGUCGUCCCGUUGUUAACGC
rnacentral:rRNA from 1 species